ACCCAGGCCUUCAUUCCACCGCGGCACCGCCUCAUCCCGAUAAGCUUUCGCGCGGCGCGAACCAAAUCGCUCAAAUCAGAGUACCAGUUCUCCCAAUUGUCGAAUCCUAGCGUCCGUGAGGUUUGACUCUAUCCCCAAUUCGACCCUAGACCGCGCGAUUUUGUUCUAGGUCUGGUGUCUUGGUCAGGGGAUCUAGGGUUUAGCUGCGAAUUUCGCCGUGAAUUUUUGGGAUCCGGUUGAUUUGCCCGUUCCUGAGUGAUCCCUGCUUGUUUCCCAUGGCUGCGGCGCGGCACGCGAGCUACAGGAACCAUGACGUGGCGAGGGGGCGGGAGCUCGACCUGGAGCGCUCCAGGCGGAGCAAGGAGUAUCGCCAUCGCCACCCGAGCCGCGACCGCGACUCGGGCCGCCUCCGCGACGGCGGCCACAGCGGGGGCCGCGACAGCGGGCACCGUCGCCACCGCUCGCCGUAUCCGCCACCGAGAAGCCAGCCUUCAAGAAGGGGGAAUGAUCGGGAACCUGGCGAGGUCUCAAGCGGCAGCUGCUUAGAGGAGUCUGGUGGGCGCCCAUUGAAGGCUGGGGUACCGAUUGAGGAUGUUUUUCUGGGAGUUUGCAAGGACGGUAGUGUGUUACCACCAAGUAAGAAGAGGAAGCACUCACCUGUAUUCCUGGAUACCCAUGUCUCAAAGUUGCAGGCGAUAGAUGAUGUGAGGAGCAGGGGAGUGGUAGACACCGCAGCAGCGGAGUUCCCUUUGCCUUCACCACCUCCUUUAUCAGAUGAUAGUCCUAUGGCCACGGUUGGUGGGUGCUCAAGCCCAACAAAGCAUUUGGAUAUUUCGGUGGUUCUGCAUGUGGCUGAAUGUUGUCAUGAACAUGAGAAUAAUGGGGUUAUGCUGGGGGAAGAGGAGUGCCCAACAACGAGAAACAUCUUUACUUCAAGAUGGGCAGAAGCUGAUGAUGAGGUAGAAGUGAUUGUGCCCCAAAAGAAGAAAAGUGUCUCUCCUGCUAGCUUGUCUGAACAGGGAUCUAUAGAGGAAGUUACAAUCCCAGAGCUUGGAGAAGUGCUGCGGGUUCAAACAUCAAGAGGAAGCUCCUCAAGUUCGUCUAACUCCAUGGGUAGUGAAAACUGGAAUAUCCAGGUAGACAGGGGUGACUGCAUGGAUGUUGAGAAGGUGGAUGCCAUUGAUUCUUCUGUUGGUUAUACUGAUUUUGGGAGUGAUGCACGCAGGUCUAGAACACCUGAGGCUGUACGUCCACCACGGAGGUGCUUUAACAUGCUUCAGGACUGUAGGAGUAUUGAUGAGUUCGAGAGGCUCAACACAAUCAAUGAGGGUACGUAUGGAGUUGUUUUUAGGGUGAGGGACAAGAAAACUGGUGAGAUUGUUGCAUUGAAGAAGGUCAAGAUGGAUAAGGAACGUGAAGGUUUUCCAUUGACCUCUCUUAGGGAAAUAAAUAUCCUCUUAUCCUUUGACCACCCUUCAAUUGUGGAUGUCAAGGAAAUAGUUGUUGGUGGACAUGAUGAUGAUAUUUUCAUGGUGAUGAGUACAUGGAGCAUGACCUGAAGGGUGUCAUGGAGACGAUUAAGCAACCAUAUACCCAAAGUGAGGUCAAAUGUUUGAUGCUUCAGCUGCUAGAAGGCGUGAAGUAUCUUCAUGACAAUUGGGUACUGCACAGGGAUCUCAAGACAUCAAAUCUCCUCCUGAAUAACCGUGGUGAGUUGAAAAUAUGUGAUUUUGGACUCUCUCGUCAAUAUGGCAGCCCGCUAAAACCUUACACUCAACCAGUUGUGACUUUGUGGUAUAGGGCUCUGGAACUACCUUUAGGAGCAAAGGAGUAUUCUACUGCUAUUGAUAUGUGGUCAUUGGGUUGCAUAAUGGCAGAACUCUUAUCAAAAGAGCCACUCUUCACUGGGAAAAAUGAGAUAGGUCAACUUGAUAAGAUAUUUAGAAUACUUGGCACACCCAAUGAGGAACGGUGGCAUGGUUAUUCAAAAUUGCCCGGUGCCAAAUGCAAAUUUAUAAAGCAACGGUACAAUAGGUUAAGGGAUAAGUUUCCAGCUGUAUCCUUCACGGGAGGGUUGACCUUGUCAGAAGCUGGAUUUGACCUGCUAAAUAGGCUGUUGACAUAUGACCCUGAGAAGCGCAUAUCUGCGGAUGAUGUCUUGAAUCAUGAGUGGUUCCGCGAGGUUCCUCUGCCCAAAACAAAGGAUUUCAUGCCAACGUUUCCUGCUCUGAAUGAACAAGACAGGAGGAUCAAGAAAUACAUGAAGAGCCCUGAUCCACUGGUGGAGCAACAGAUGAAAGAACAAGGGAGCUCAGGAGAUCGUGGUCUUUUUGGCUGAUCUGAAACCAGAUCUGGGCUUGCUGCAGUAAUCCAGUUUCCAGUGUGAAUAAUUGUGAGUACACGUGGUCCACGUGCCAAGGUGAGGUGUCCCGGCGGACAUGAAAGUACCUGUCCACUUAGUGUGCGGUGACAGCUGAUUCUGUUUUAUAGCAGGCACGGGAUCAAAAGGGAAUAAAAAAUUUCAUUAUGGUUCAUUCAGCUACUAUUCAAAUGUCAGGCUUAAGUCUAUCAGAACUCAGGUCACAUUCUAAUCCACCAUCAUUAUAAGGCGUAGAUCCAGUUCACUUUCAAUUUCAUCUGAAGGUUGGGCUGAUUGGGUACACAAUUUCACCUCUGAAACUUCUCUGUGUAAAAUAUCAUAUAUCGUUGCCUUGUAAUCAGUAGUCAAUGAGAUAUUAUAGUGACAUCCUAUUUUAUUUUACUCUGUUCAAGUAGUUCAUCUUUCUUUUGGUCUUUCCAUUUUGUUUGCAAGAGUUGUACAAAGCGAAGGGGAGGGUGUGUUUGCUUUUCGCAAGGAAAUUGAUGCCCACUUAUCAUAAAUUGUAAGGUAAAAUACUGAGGAGCCUAUUCCCUCUGCUGAUGUGCUAUUGUAAAAAAUGUGAUUAAUCUGUCCCUUUCAUUUCUUAUUUUAAUUUUGUGAAAGACUGGGUUGUACUGAAUAGAGUUAUGAUCUACUAUGACACCCUCCGGUGGUGCUUUUAAAUUGUUAUCUUGAUCCUUGGUGCACCUGGUCUAAUAAAUAUAUAGCUUCCUCAUUUGCAAAGGUGCAAAUGUUUAUCUGACACGGGAAUUUCCUAUUUCCAAGAAUUAAUUACGGCAUUAGACAGUUUUGGAUCACUGCAAUUUCUAUGCAUCUUACAAACUAUUCAGUCUGGGUAUGGCAGCUAAGAGAUUUAGGUUUCCUUCAGCCUUUUGCAGUAGCCUAAAUGGCUUCAGAAUGUGGAAAUAGAGAUCUAUAUCUUUUGUUGGUUGCUUUCCUGAACACAGUGAUAUAACUAUGAUGGUUGGAGCUUGGCUACAGUUUACUGUCAUCUUCCCAAAAUGUUGACAGUUCUUUUGUUUGAUCUUCUUGGGCGUUCUUUUAAACAUGCCAUAAUUUUCUAAUGUUCUGUUUCUAAAAUGUACCUACACUGCUAAAUUAAAAAUUUGCAGAUGGCUUAAUAAUCCUUGCACCUGUGCUGAGAUCUUCAUUUCUGCGAGCUUAUCUGUUGCAACUUCAUUGCUUCAGCUUAAGCCACUUCUUCUCAGACACUAAGCCAUUUCUUGUGAGACACUACUGCAUUUGUGGAAUUGUGGUUAGCAUCCUUGCUGGAACUUGUCAAACUAGAUCUAACAGCUGUUGUUUGGGAAUGGUAUAUAUUUCGUUAGACCUGGUCCUGAUGAUUUUUGUUGCACAAUUAAUGUUCAAGCAAUGAUUAAUUCUUGAUGAACUUGUUAGAAAGUUUACUUAACUCACUGUGAACGUUAUGCGACACGUCUGCAGCUUAAAGCUGUGGCUGUAUCAAGACAAGAAGCUUUCUUGGAUGUCAGAUUAUUAUACUUGAACUGAAUUUGUCGCUGGGAAUUCAAAGGUCUCACCUAUUACUCUGAAUCCAAGGGAGUUCAGUCAGCUCCUUUGACUAUUUUGGUAACUCAUGACCUCUUCCUCAUUGCACUCCAGUUUUGUUUCAUGUGCUCAUCAUCACCAUCUUUUUAUCAUUCCUGCGUCCUGGAUCCAAUGGCAGUUCAUGUGGAAAAAAGUAUUUAAAUAAAAAUGCAGUAUAUUUAAUUUUCCAAGGGUCCAAUUCCCAAAAUAAACCCCCCCCAAAAGCUAGCAUACUUUGCUUUUGUCAAGGCUACAUUAGCUCUCCUAUCAGAAUCGAGAAAUCCUACAUUCCCACAAUGAUUGCAUCUAACUGUUCGAAAUAUUAUAGUCCUUUUCACCACCUUGAAGUGACUAAACAGUGUACUUUAUCAGAAAGAAACUCAUGGUUCUGAAAAUUUCCAAUUCUUUCUCGCAAAGCUGUUACUUGAGCUUGAUUCGAGUUAAGAUUUCCGUCUUCUGGUCCGAGCAUGCUGUAUUAAUUUUAAACCAAAAAUACACAAAGUAGUUUUAAGGAAACCCUGAAAACUUACAUGCUAUUUGAAACCUGAAAGGUUAGGUAUACUCCAAACAAGUCUGCAAACAGUAUAGGUCAGUAACAGUGUAACAGAACCCUCAACCAUAUAUUUUUUGAACUCUCAACUCUGGCCAGCGUGCUCUUCCAUACCAUCUUCAGCAUAAAUGAGUGGAUAAGUAAAUAGAUAAUACUAGGGCGAUGAAUGUCUAUGGAUCUUGGCAUUUAGACCUUCUAUAAUUUCCAUCAUAGAAGUUUUUAUCUGGAAACUGGACUAUGGAUGUACAAAAAUAAUUACCGGUAACAAACAUAAGGAAUAAUAUUAGGGAACAUGAUAUUCAAAUGAUCUUAUAUGGACGCCACACUGGGCUCUUCACCAUGAUUGUAGUUGCUUGUCAUCCCCAAUGAGCAUAACAUGUUUUAUCCCUCUAAUUGCAAGAGGGAUCAUUGAUUCACAUUUUUGUAGGUUUGCCUCAGGUUACUAGCCUAUCGUUUUAGCCUUUAGGGCUAGUGACUAAAAGUAAGGCCUGGCAUGCUAAGGAAAUUGAUGUUCCAAGCAUAAACUAUCUAGGACCAAAAGGUUAGGAUCAAAAGGUUCACUUCCCAUUUGCAUGGAGAUGGUAACCUACUUUUAAGUAAUUCUUCUGUUGUAUGGACAAAAAUUUAAAAACACAGCUUAUUAUUCUCAAGAAAGUUGGAGUAAUCUAGAUAAGAUCCAACAGAAGCCACUAACAAAGAGGAUACUUCUAUAUAAUUGUGGUAAUGAAUAUAGUUUAGUUAUCAGUGUCUUUUAUAUUGGCUGAAUUGUGAUGUUUUGUGAGAUCAUGUUUGCCUGAAACCUAACUGCUUUCAGUUGCCUGAAAACUUAGGACUCUAUAGUUGGUAUUACUGUUCAGUGCAUUGCAGGUAGUACUAUUGUUCAGGGCAUUGUAGUUGCUGGGAAUUAUGAUGUAAUGUAGCAAGAUCUAAUGUCUGAACCACAGGAUGUCUAUGAAGCUUGAUUUGUGGCAUCUCAUUUUGUUCAGUGAGUUUGUUUUUUUUUUUAAAAAUAAUAUACAUCUCCAAAUAUCCACUGCGGCUAAAUGCCAUCUCCAUUUCAUGGCUACCUAGGGCAUGACCGGUAGCAGGCAUGGCAGCCUGUUAGGACACCCAUGGAGAUGGCACAUUCAGGUCAGAUCAACUUAAAUUCCAGAAUGGUGGAGGGCUAUGGAUAGGUUAACUACGUGAUUACUAAUCACUAUUUCAAAAUAGAAUCUUAUAUUCACUUAAUUGAAAAGAUUCUUAUCUGUACAUUCAGUUAGAUGCUAUUCCUAUAUCAUAUUCAUGGUGGCAUAUUGUCAUCACGCAUCCUCCAAUAUCCUUCUAACUGUACUCUGAUUCAUGCUGAGUUCUAUAGAAGUUCAUGGCUAAAAAUGAUUUCUAAUUCAUUAAAUUCUCUAGGUGCACCUUUGGGAGCUAUUAUUUCUGUCUUCAACGAGUUAUUCUAGUUUCAUUAUGACUUUAUGGCUCGUUUAACUUGUUUUAACCUUUAUUUUGCUCAUUGUUUUGUGAGUGCAAACAAUGCUGUAAGGCACGAUUUUCAGGGUCCGGAGGUGCAAGGCUUAUAUUGAAUCUGACGAGUCGAGCCUGGUUUUCAAGAUGCUGCAGUUUGUUAGGCUCGUUUGAAUUUAUUUUAAGAAACAAACCAUGACGGAAAGAGCUCUCUAGAUUUCUGGUUGGGUUAAUUUUUGGCUUGAUGAUUAAUGGUGUGUACAGCCUUGAGAUCCUGUUUCUCUUCUAUGCAAGGUGACUUACAAUUUUGCUUGAAGAACCUCCUGUACUUGACAACUUGGCACUAAAUCGUCGAGUUCCAAAGUUUCAGUAAACAGUCUCAAAAGUUCUUUGAAUA